rnacentral:rRNA from 1 species
GUGGGGAAUUUUGGACAAUGGGGGCAACCCUGAUCCAGCCAUGCCGCGUGUGUGAAGAAGGCCUUCGGGUUGUAAAGCACUUUCGGCCGGAACGAAAUCGCGCGGGCGAAUAUCCCGCGUGGAUGACGGUACCGGAAGAAGAAGCACCGGCUAACUACGUGCCAGCAGCCGCGGUAAUACGUAGGGUGCGAGCGUUAAUCGGAAUUACUGGGCGUAAAGUGUGCGCAGGCGGCUGAGCAAGUCGAGUGUGAAAGCCCCGGGCUUAACUUGGGAAUUGCGCUCGAAACUACUUGGCUGGAGUGUGGCAGAGGAAGGUGGAAUUCCACGUGUAGCGGUGAAAUGCGUAGAGAUGUGGAGGAACACCAAUGGCGAAGGCAGCCUUCUGGGCCAACACUGACGCUCAUGCACGAAAGCGUGGGGAGCAAACAGGAUUAGAAACCCCAGUAGUCC